rnacentral:tRNA from 1 species
AGGAUUAUAUUUAAUUAUAAUAUUUAAUUUGCAGUUAAAAGGUGUUUAUCAAAACUAAUCUUU